CAAAUUUAAAAUUUGACAUCCAAACAAAAUUCAUACAAGUGCAAAAAAUAAUGUUUAAUUAACUUGAAAUGGUUAAAGAAAGGUGAGCAAGUUUGAAAUGUUUUCAACAUCAAGAGUCCGUACAUAAAACAUAUUGAAGCAAAAGAUAAUCGCAAACAACUGCUUUGUUGGUAGGACACCCCGCUACAAUACAACAUAUUCAUUUAGUUCUUUAUGAAUUAAUAAGAUAUUUUUUUUCGUGGUAAACAUGACGAAUGUUGAGCCAAAUAAACAGCAUUUGUGGUCUGUGAUAUUUUUUUUGUUUAAUCAAAGAGAAAGGCAUAGAAAAGUGAUUAAAUACUUAUCAAGACUUACGGCAAUCGUGCUGUAACCAUUAAGUGGCGAUUUCAAUGUUAUUGUCAAAAAAUACGAAACUCGACCAAAGAAGUUUCAAAAUGAAUUACAAGUAUUAUUGGACAAACAUGAUAUACAAAUACAACAAAUGAUGGUGGAGGAGUUGAAUGUUACCUGGUAAACCAUUUCCGAUCGCCUGAAAGCCAUAGGAAAGAUUCAAAAGGUUGGAAAAUGGAUUUCACACAAACUGAAGGAAUAACGAAAAACUACGUGACAUGAUACUUUUACGCCAUAACGAAAGGGUAUCACAAUCAAAAAUUAAUAUAUUUUGAAAUUUUCAAAGGUAAAAAAUAAUGGGUAAUGGGUAACGCCAUCAACAUUGAUGCGAGAUCGGAUAGGUUU